rnacentral:rRNA from 1 species
AGAGUUUGAUCAUGGCUCAGAUUGAACGCUGGCGGCAGGCCUAAGACAUGCAAGUCGAACGGUAACGACACUAGCUUGCUAGUGGUCGACGAGUGGCGGACGGGUGAGUAACGCGUAGGAAUCUACCUAGUAGUGGGGGAUAGCCAAGGGAAACUUUGGGUUAUACCGCAUACGAUCUAAGGAUGAAAGGGGGCCUCUCUUUGAAGCUCUCGCUAUUAGAUGAGCCUGCGUAAGAUUAGCUUGUUGGUGGGGUAAUGGCUCACCAAGGCGACAAUCUUUAGCU